GUCCCAGUUCGGAUUGCAGGCUGCAACCCGCCUGCAUGAAGCUGGAAUCGCUAGUAAUCGCGGAUCAGCAUGUCGCGGUGAAUACGUUCCCGGGCCUUGUACACACCGCCCGUCACACCAUGAGAGUUGGCAAUACCCAACGUACGUGAUCUAACCCGCAAGGGAGGAAGCGUCCUAAGGUAGGGUCAGCGAUUGGGGUGAAGUCGUAACAAGGUAAC
rnacentral:rRNA from 1 species